UGAGACUAAGAAGGUUCCAUUAAAAUAAAUGUUUAGUCUGCCAAUCAAAUCACUGGGUCUUCUCUUUAUGCAACCACAUAAAACCUCAAUGUGGUCAGCUUCCCUCUUGUCUCCCUCAAUGUUAUUCAGUAUUUCUUUAGGCAACAUCCUUUGACCACCAUCAACCGACACACACUUAAGAGCCCUUGAUGAUAAUGAUAAUGCUCUUGAUUUUCUCUUUGAUCUCUUUUUCUUUAAAUAAUUGUAGAUACAUAUACAUACAUACACCAAAU
rnacentral:lncRNA from 1 species